rnacentral:rRNA from 1 species
CAGCAGCCGCGGUAAUACAGAGGGUGCGAGCGUUAAUCGGAUUUACUGGGCGUAAAGCGUGCGUAGGCGGCUAAUUGAGUCGGAUGUGAAAUCCCCGAGCUUAACUUGGGAAUUGCAUUCGAUACUGGUUAGCUAGAGUGUGGGAGAGGAUGGUAGAAUUCCAUGUGUAGCGGUGAAAUGCGUAGAGAUCUGGAGGAAUACCGAUGGCGAAGGCAGCCAUCUGGCCUAACACUGACGCUGAGGUACGAAAGCAUGGGGAGCAAACAGGAUUAGAUACCCCCGUAGUCCCUGUCUCUUAUAC